rnacentral:rRNA from 1 species
GGAUGAACGCCGGCGGUGUGCCUAAUACAUGCAAGUCGUACGCAGGUGCUUGCACCUGAGUGGCGGACGGGUGAGUAACACGUAGGUAACCUGCCCCGGAGCGGGGGAUAACAUUUGGAAACAGAUGCUAAUACCGCAUAACAACAAAGCCACAUGGCUUUUGUUGAAAGAUGUUUGUAUCACUCUGGGAUGGACCUGCGGUGCAUUAGCUAGUUGGUAAGGUAAUGGCUUACCAAGGCGAUGAUGCAUAGCCGAGUUGAGAGACUGAUCGGCCACAAUGGAACUGAGACACGGUCCAUACUCCUACGGGAGGCAGCAGUAGGGAAUCUUCCACAAUGGGCGCAAGCCUGAUGGAGCAACACCGCGUGAGUGAAGAAGGGUUUCGGCUCGUAAAGCUCUGUUGUUGGAGAAGAACGUGCGUGAGGUAAUUCACGCAGUGACGGUAUCCAACCAGAAAGUCACGGCUAACUACGUGCCAGCAGCCGCGGUAAUACGUAGGUGGCAAGCGUUAUCCGGAUUUAUGGGCGUAAAGCGAGCGCAGGCGGUUGCUUAGGUCUGAUGUGAAAGCCUUCGGCUUAACCGAAGAAGUGCAUCGGAAACCGGGCGACUUGAGUGCAGAAGAGGACAGUGGAACUCCGUGUGUAGCGGUGGAAUGCGUAGAUAUAUGGAAGAACACCAGUGGCGAAGGCGGCUGUCUGGUCUGCAACUGACGCUGAGGCUCGAAAGCAUGGGUAGCGAACAGGAUUAGAUACCCUGGUAGUCCAUGCCGUAAACGAUGAGUGCUAGGUGUUGGAGGGUUCCGCCCUUCAGUGCCGGAGCUAACGCAUUAAGCACUCCGCCUGGGGAGUACGACCGCAAGGUUGAAACUCAAAGGAAUUGACGGGGGCCCGCACAAGCGGUGGAGCAUGUGGUUUAAUUCGAAGCUACGCGAAGAACCUUACCAGGUCUUGACAUCUUGCGCUAACCUUAGAGAUAAGGCGUUCCCUUCGGGGACGCAAUGACAGGUGGUGCAUGGUCGUCGUCAGCUCGUGUCGUGAGAUGUUGGGUUAAGUCCCGCAACGAGCGCAACCCUUGUUACUAGUUGCCAGCAUUAAGUUGGGCACUCUAGUGAGACUGCCGGUGACAAACCGGAGGAAGGUGGGGACGACGUCAGAUCAUCAUGCCCCUUAUGACCUGGGCUACACACGUGCUACAAUGGACGGUACAAUGAGUCGCAAGCUCGCGAGAGUAAGCUAAUCUCUUAAAGCCGUUCUCAGUUCGGACUGUAGGCUGCAACUCGCCUACACGAAGUCGGAAUCGCUAGUAAUCGCGGAUCAGCAUGCCGCGGUGAAUACGUUCCCGGGCCUUGCACACACCGCC